UACGUACGAGGCAAGCGUUAUCGGAAUUACUGGGCGUAAAGCGCGCGCAGGCGGAUCGCUAAGUAGGGCGUGAAAUCUCCCGGCCUAACUGGGAGGGGUCGCCCUAAACUGGCAGUCUUGAGGACAGCAGAGGUAGGUGGAAUUCCUGGUGUAGUGGUGAAAUGCGUAGAGAUCAGGAGGAACACCGGUGGCGAAAGCGGCUCACUGGACCACAACUGACGCUGAGGCGCGAAAGCUAGGGGAGCAAACAGG
rnacentral:rRNA from 1 species